UUGUAACAUCCCUCAGGUGGCACGAGUGAGUGUGCCUAUUGCCUGUGACACUGGUGAUUGUAACGUCCCUCAGGUGGCACGUGUGAGCAAUACUUUGAGGAUCUGGGGGACCUGGAGAGGAGGCUGUACCGAGGCGCCCAGCAGCGCUCCGACAGCGUCCUGAGGCCCCCACAGGAGGACGGCAUCCAGCGCAGAGCCCUCCGCAACACCUGCCUCUGCGACACGUCCAUGAGCUGCUCGCCACCACUGGUCUGCAGGAACCAGAUCUACUACACCUCCUUCUCCAAAUGAAUGACCUCACCUCCUUCUCCAAAUGAAUGACCUCACCUCCUUCUCCAAAUGAAUGACCUCACCUCCUUCUCCAAAUGAAUGACCUCACCUCCUUCUCCAAAUGAAUGAAUGCACCUCCUUCUCCAAAUGAAUGAC
ensembl:lncRNA